rnacentral:tRNA from 1 species
UGUAAAAUAAGCUAAAAUCCAAGCUGUUGGGUUCAUACCCCAAAAAUGAAUAAUAAAUUCUUUUACAACCA